CUGACUGCGCCGAAGGUGUUUCGGCUCUUAGUUCCAAGGAGGUUGAGCUCUUCUGUGGGGAAGUGCGAGUGCACUGGCAAAAGGUGCUGCUGAGGAUGGAUUUGAGAACAGCGCUUCUCUCCUUGUCAAAGGCUGCGAAGCCCCUGUGAAAGCGGGGCUUUUAGGCGUGCAGGAAAUGCCCCCUGGCUGGUACAAUUGAUCACGCCACUUUGGAUGAUCAGGCUUUUAAAUCUAGACUGGAUGGGAAUUUGCCCUUGACAGACAAGAACGUGGUGUUAAGGCUGGGAUGUGAACUGUUGCAGCAGACCAUUUGCUAAGGUUAAUCAAAUUUCAACAGUUCUUUAUAGCCGGGUGAAAUCAUCACAGAUCCAUUCUAUUUAGCUAAGUCAUACUCCUCUGUAUUCACAUUUUGAGCUAUGAUGUGACCGCUUCAUUUAGGUGGAUGUAGAGCAGCUGUGGGAUUGGAUGAAAGAGUUAAGAAAUCCUGUGGAGAAAGCAGGAGGUUCUCCAGGUGACCCAAAGCACCUGCAUUUGAAAACCAGUCUCAGAUUCACAUGUCAAAUUGUCAUCCGGAAGGUAUUACUGAUGGCUUAUUUUGACAUCAGAGAUGAAAUCCAAGUUUCUUCUCACUUCAGGAUAAAUGUAUUGUUACGCAUCUAAUUCAGUUACUGCACACUAUUGCUUCUGUUUUCUGAGGAUUGGUGGCACAGCAAAGAUGUUGAUUUGAGGACCCUGUGCCAGGACAGGUCCAUUUCCAUUCAGUUCAAACAGCCGUUCUAGAGGGUGCCUAACAGUGCUAGGAGCAGCAAGCAAGAGCCAGGACUCCUGUCCCCCAGAGAUGGUCCUUGGCUGUGGCUUGGUGCCAAGGCCCCUCUCCCUCCACGGCCGUGAAGACUGCAAGACGUGGCUAAAAAUCCUCUACCGUACUUGAGAAAAUGAAUGUCCUCACCUGAGGAAUGAGACUGGGAGUGGAUCUUGACUGGGUUGUUCUUUCCACAGAAAGGACUCUAGGAAAGGAUGAAGCUGGGAUGAAAAGUCACGGCUGAGUCCUGGUAACUCAUUUCUGCUGGUGGAAUGUGGGGAUAGGAGGGAUAUCGGCCCCUAUGGGGUAAGGGGGAGGAGGCUGGGAGAAGGGGAUAGCAAUUAUGCCAAAGCCCCUGUUCCAGCAGUGGCCACCACUUUAGGUAUCUCCAGCUUCUCCCUCUCAGAGUGACAGCAAGCAAGGGUUUCUGUAGGCUUGGCAUAAGCAAAGAAGAAAGAAAAGACAAACGCAUAAUUACAUUCCACCGUUGGCAUUAACAUGUGCCCUCUGUUAGUUAGGGAGGAGAAGAAAAGAGUCAAGCUUGUACAGCUUUACACUUUUGCUAGUGAAAUGACCUGUACAUAAGAUGUAUCCUAGAUAAGCAGUGCCAUGUCAUCAUCUUUGUCCCUCUUGAGCGAACUGUAACAGUGACACACACAUUCCAGUCCUGUGAUUGAGCCUAACCUGUACCUCGACGUUAACUGGCUUAAUUCAUAUCCUAAAGCUUAGGUUAUACUUUAGAUGUUCAGCUAUUGAAAAAUUGUUGGUUUUCCAUGAUGACUAACCCUACCUGAGAAGCACUUGACUAGGCAAUUUCUUGAGAGCU